rnacentral:rRNA from 1 species
UACGUAGGGCGCAAGCGUUGUCCGGAAUUAUUGGGCGUAAAGAGCUCGUAGGCGGCUUGUCACGUCUGCUGUGAAAUCCCGGGGCUCAACCCCGGGCGUGCAGUGGAUACGGGCUGGCUAGAGGCAGGCAGGGGAGAACGGAAUUCCCGGUGUAGCGGUGAAAUGCGCAGAUAUCGGGAGGAACACCGGUGGCGAAGGCGGGUCUCUGGGCCUGUACUGACGCUGAGGAGCGAAAGCGUGGGGAGCGAACAGG